GAGUGGGGGAUAACGUAGCGAAAGUUGCGCUAAUACCGCAUAUUCUGUGAGCAGGAAAGCAGGGGACCGCAAGGCCUUGCGCUCUUUGAGCGGCCGAUGUCAGAUUAGCUAGUUGGUGAGGUAAAGGCUUACCAAGGCGACGAUCUGUAGCGGGUCUGAGAGGAUGAUCCGCCACACUGGAACUGAGACACGGUCCAGACUCCUACGGGAGGCAGCAGUGGGGAAUUUUGGACAAUGGGGGCAACCCUGAUCCAGCCAUGCCGCGUGAGUGAAGAAGGCCUUCGGGUUGUAAAGCUCUUUCGGCCGGGAAGAAAUCGCAUGGGCCAAUACCCUGUGUGGAUGACGGUACCGGAAUAAGAAGCACCGGCUAACUACGUGCCAGCAGCCGCGGUAAUACGUAGGGUGCGAGCGUUAAUCGGAAUUACUGGGCGUAAAGCGUGCGCAGGCGGUUUUGUAAGACAGGCGUGAAAUCCCCGGGCUUAACCUGGGAACUGCGUUUGUGACUGCAAGGCUAGAGUACGGCAGAGGGGGGUGGAAUUCCACGUGUAGCAGUGAAAUGCGUAGAGAUGUGGAGGAACACCAAUGGCGAAGGCAGCCCCCUGGGUCGAUACUGACGCUCAUGCACGAAAGCGUGGGUAGCAAACAGGAUUAGAUACCCUGGUAGUCCACGCCCUAAACUAUGUCAACUAGGUGUUGGGUGGGUAAAACCAUUUAGUACCGUAGCUAACGCGUGAAG
rnacentral:rRNA from 1 species